GAUGAACGCUGGCGGCGUGCCUAAUACAUGCAAGUCGAGCGAACAGACGAGGCGCUUGCUCCUCUGACGUUAGCGGCGGACGGGUGAGUAACACGUGGAUAACCUCCCUAUAAGACUGGGAUCACUUCGGGAAACCGGAUCUAAUACCGGAUAAUAUAUUGAACCGCAUGGUUCAAUAGUGAAAGACGGUUUUGCUGUCACUUAUCGAUGGAUCCGCGCCGCAUUAGCUAGUUGGUAAGUUAACGGCUUACCAAGGCAACGAUGCGUAGCCGACCUGCGAGAGGGAUCGGCCACACGGGAACGGAGACACGGACAAGGGGACUGAGGGAGGCAGCAGUAGGGAAUCUUCCGCAAUGGGCGAAAACCUGACGGAGUAACGCCGCGUGAGUGAUGAAGGCGUUCGGUGCGUGAUACUCUGUUAUGAGGGAAGAACAAAUGUGUAAUUAACUAUGCACGUCUUGACGGUACCUAAUCAGAAAGCCACGGCUAACUACGUG
rnacentral:rRNA from 1 species